AUUGAACGCUGGCGGCAGGCCUAAUACAUGCAAGUCGAGCGAACAGACAAGGAGCUUGCUCCUUUGACGUUAGCGGCGGACGGGUGAGUAACACGUGGGUAACCUACCUAUAAGACUGGGAUAACUUCGGGAAACCGGAGCUAAUACUGGAUAAUAUUUCGAACCGCAUGGUUCGAUAGUGAAAGAUGGUUUUGCUAUCACUUAUAGAUGGACCCGCGCCGUAUUAGCCAGUUGGUAAGGUAACGGCUUACCAAGGCGACGAUACGUAGCCGACCUGAGAGGGUGAUCGGCCACACUGGAACUGAGACACGGUCCAGACUCCUACGGGAGGCAGCAGUAGGGAAUCUUCCGCAAUGGGCGAAAGCCUGACGGAGCAACGCCGCGUGAGUGAUGAAGGUCUUCGGAUCGUAAAACUCUGUUAUUAGGGAAGAACAUACGUGUAAGUAACUAUGCACGUCUUGACGGUACCUAAUCAGAAAGCCACGGCUAACUACGUGCCAGCAGCCGCCGUAA
rnacentral:rRNA from 1 species